UUUUAUGGAGAGUUUGAUCCUGGCUCAGGAUGAACGCUGGCGGCGUGCCUAAUACAUGCAAGUCGAGCGAACAGACGAGGAGCUUGCUCCUCUGACGUUAGCGGCGGACGGGUGAGUAACACGUGGAUAACCUACCUAUAAGACUGGGAUAACUUCGGGAAACCGGAGCUAAUACCGGAUAAUAUAUUGAACCGCAUGGUUCAAUAGUGAAAGACGGUUUUGCUGUCACUUAUAGAUGGAUCCGCGCCGCAUUAGCUAGUUGGUAAGGUAACGGCUUACCAAGGCAACGAUGCGUAGCCGACCUGAGAGGGUGAUCGGCACACUGGAACUGAG
rnacentral:rRNA from 1 species